rnacentral:rRNA from 1 species
GGAAUAUUGGACAAUGGGCGAAAGCCUGAUCCAGCCAUGCCGCGUGAGUGAUGAAGGCCCUAGGGUUGUAAAGCUCUUUUACCCGGGAUGAUAAUGACAGUACCGGGCGAAUAAGCCCCGGCUAACCCCGUGCCAGCCGCCGCGGUAAUACGGAGGGGGCUAGCGUUGUUCGGAAUUACUGGGCGUAAAGCGCGCGUAGGCGGCUUUGUAAGUUAGAGGUGAAAGCCCGGGGCUCAACUCCGGAACUGCCUUUAAGACUGCAUCGCUAGAACGUUGGAGAGGUAAGUGGAAUUCCGAGUGUAGAGGUGAAACUCGUAGAUAUUCGGAAGAACACCAGUGGCGAAGGCGACUUACUGGACAACUGUUGACGCUGAGGUGCGAAAGCGUGGGGAGCAAAC